AGUGAACGCUGGCGGUAGGCCUAACACAUGCAAGUCGAACGGCAGCACAGUAAGAGCUUGCUCUUACGGGUGGCGAGUGGCGGACGGGUGAGGAAUACAUCGGAAUCUACUUUUUCGUGGGGGAUAACGUAGGGAAACUUACGCUAAUACCGCAUACGACCUACGGGUGAAAGCAGGGGAUCUUCGGACCUUGCGCGAUUGAAUGAGCCGAUGUCGGAUUUGCUAGUUGGGGGGGUAAAGGCCCACCAAGGGGACGAUCCGUAGCUGGUCUGGGAGGAUGGUCAGCCACACGGGAACUUGAACACGGUCCAGACGCCUGAGGGAGGGAGCAGACGGGAAUAGUGGACAAUAGGCGGAAACCUGAUACAGCCAUACCGAGUGGGUGGAGGAAGCCUUCGGGUUGUAAAGCCCUUUUGUUGGGAAAGAAAAGCAGCAGGUUAAUACCCCGCUGUUCUGACGGUACCCAAAGAAUAAGCACCGGCUAACUUCGUG
rnacentral:rRNA from 1 species